CUUUAUUGGAGAGUUUGAUCCUGGCUCAGGACGAACGCUGGCGGCGUGCCUAAUACAUGCAAGUCGAGCGGACUUGAUGGAGUGCUUGCACUCCUGAAGGUUAGCGGCGGACGGGUGAGUAACACGUAGGCAACCUGCCCUCAAGACUGGGAUAACUACCGGAAACGGUAGCUAAUACCGGAUAAUUUAUUUUGCAGCAUUGUGAAAU
rnacentral:rRNA from 1 species